UGUGAGGUCUGGUCAGCAGCAGUGGUAAGGCGGUGGGUGGGGGCGUUAAUCUGAAGUACUGGGCGUAAAGGGUGCGCAGGCGGCUCCGCAUGUCGGGCGUGAAAGCCCCUGGCUUAACCUGGGAAUUGCGUCCGAAACUAUGGAGCUGGAGUGUGGCAGAGGGAUGUGGAAUUCCACGUGUAGCGGUGAAAUGCGUAGAGAUGUGGAGGAACACCGAUGGCGAAGGCAGCCUCCUGGGCCAACACUGACGCUCAUGCACGAAAGCGUGGGGAGCAAACAGGAUUAGAUACCCUGGUAGUC
rnacentral:rRNA from 1 species